rnacentral:rRNA from 1 species
GAUGAACGCUGGCGGCGUGCUUAACACAUGCAAGUCGAACGAAGCACUUUUAAUUCUUCGGAAGAGAAAGUGACUGAGUGGCGGACGGGUGAGUAACGCGUGGGUAACCUGCCUUAUACAGGGGGAUAACAGUUAGAAAUGACUGCUAAUACCGCAUAAGCCGAUAGAGUCGCAUGACUUAGUCGGAAAAGAUUUAUCGGUAUAAGAUGGACCCGCGUCUGAUUAGCUAGUUGGUGAGGUAAUGGCCCACCAGGGCGACGAUCAGUAGCCGGCUUGAGAGAGUGAACGGCCACAUUGGGACUGAGACACGGCCCAAACUCCUACGGGAGGCAGCAGUGGGGAAUGUUGCACAAUGGGGGAAACCCUGAUGCAGCAACGCCGCGUGAAGGAAGAAGUAUUUCGGUAUGUAAACUUCUAUCAGCAGGGAAGAAAAUGACGGUACCUGACUAAGAAGCCCCGGCUAACUACGUGCCAGCCGCCGCGGUAA